rnacentral:rRNA from 1 species
CAAUAGCGUAUAUUAAAAUUGUUGUGGUUAAAAAGCUCGUAGUUGGAUCUGCGUCUGGCAAGCGUGGUCCCCUAAUUGGUGGUACUACGUUUUGCUGGACUAAUUAUUCGGUUUUCCCUUGAUGCUCUUCACUGAGUGUCUUGGGUGGCCGGAACGUUUACUUUGAAAAAAUUAGAGUGCUCAAAGCAGGCGUUUCGCCUGAACAUUCGUGCAUGGAAUAAUAAAAGAGGUCCCUGCAGCUCUUUAUUGGUUAUCGCUGUAAGGAAAUGAUCGACGGGGACAGACGGGGGCAUUCGUAUUGCGACGUUAGAGGUGAAAUUCUUGGAUCGUCGCAAGACGAACUACUG